CGGCAUUACUAAUGGAGGAUGGUGCAGGUAUUUUGCCAGUUAAUCAUCUCCAGAACGGCUCUUGCAUGUGGUGGGAGGGGCCCUAAUGUCGGGAAUAACGAUUCUCCAUACCUUCUCGGGGUUAUAUUUAUAAACUCGUCCCAGAAUUCAUACUGUGCUAUCCUAGAAAGCCUAGAUAUCUAAAGUUUUGGUCCCUAAUUCCAAUUCGUCAUUUGCGCUCGUGUUUCAACUUUUAUUUGCUUUUCUCCCCUUCCCCCUCCAAUCAAAGUUGUUGUAAAUAUCAACAUUUCUGGGAUUGAAUCAAGCUAUUCAUUGGCCCCCAAAAACUUGGGAGAGCAUGAAUAAGAG